CCUUCGCUCCCAGUGUGUUCACUUGAAACUUCUCCCAAGUUCUGCCAGGAGUGAGGGCGGGAGGAGUGGAAUCCUCCUGGGGCCGAGGCUGCCGCUCAGCUCGCCAUGCAGCCUGACAAAUCAAGUGACUAAAAUCCAUUAAUUAGCAGUUUUGGAAACAGUUGCAAAGUUAAUUAUUCCGUUUUCUGAUGAAAGAAAGCUAAUUUUUGGCAUUUACCCUGACAGUGACAUGAACUAACAUUUUUCGAGUUGACAUCCCUCAAGAUAAAUGAUGCCAGGAGGCGUCUGUGCAAACAUCCUGACCCGCAGCUUGUUGUGAGUCUUGCUUGUUCCCGGUGCCUUCGCCACACUGCUUGGCCUGAUCUCCGGGUAAAAGGGAAGCUUUCUUUGCAAGAGUUUCACUGGGAUGGACAGACAGACAGACUCGGUGUGGCUGGGCCUUUGAUAGCCAAGAACACAAGAUUUGACUUCAGGGGGCUCAGAAACUUCAUCAGCCAAGGAGCAUGAUUCAGAGUACAUACAGGAAGGAUCCUGCUGAAACAACUCUUUGAAACGCCGCCCCCCCAAUGAUGUUUGAUGUGCCUUGUUGCCUUUUAGCCUAAGCUGUACCUUUGGCAUCAAAACUACCUUUUGAAAAAAAAAAUUAGCUGUAUUUUAGGGCACAGAAAGUGU
rnacentral:lncRNA from 1 species